AUUUUCUACAUCGAACGCAGCAGUUGGGCUUAGUCCGAGGACUUCGUCGUCCCCCAGACAAACCAAAUACAUAAUUUAAUACAAAUUAUACUAUACUUUUGAGUGCCUGUCUUAGGGCCUCCUGCUCUAGGGAUUCAAACUGCGCUUAAGUUUGUUUCCGAGUGACGGCAACGAUUUCGUAGUUUUUUAAAUGCCACACAAACGCAAAAGACACAAAAACUGAAAGGAUUCCGUCGCCCUCGUCAAAAGAAAAUAAAAUUAGAUCCGUGGCGUAGUCGUAUUGUGCCUUACCAAGGAGGAUUCGUUGUGCCAUGACUGUUUCCAAUAUGCACACCAAAUUAAUUAUAUUGAUUUUAUUUUUCUAUAACGGUUCCUACAAUUGGAGUAAAAACUUUUAAAGCGACUAAGCUAAAAACGUUCGACCCUCCCCCUUCCUCCACAGGCGGCGACCGUCUGCGUGGAGUGUGUGUGUGCGUGUGUGCGUGCGUGCUUGUGUGUGUGUUUACCAAGUUAGUGCCGUUAUUGCCUGUGACUGUGUGCGCGUGUGAAAUAAACGUUACCGGAUUCUCGUCUUUUCUCUAAUUAACAAAUCCCUUUUUUGUUUACACAACAAGAAAAAAUAUUGACACGAUUGUACGUAGCAAAACAAACCUCGCGUUAAUCGCUCGUGCUGUUUCCCCCCAUUCUGUCUGUUGGCUUGAAGCCCUGUGGAAUUUUUCAAGCUUUUUUUGCGUCACAUAUUAAGGUAUUUAUGUAUAUAAACACAUACACAUAGACGAGUGCGAGUGUGUGCGAAUAGAGCGAAAAACAAGAGGAGACCAAAGCAAAGGCAAAAGCAACAGCAAAGGCAGCCAGCGAAACUGUGCCAGCCCCGUCGCUGUCCCCUCGCCGAUAUCAAACACAAUAACAAUAGCAAUUGCGAUCGUCUGUCGUCGUCACCCACCCCAAAAAAAGAGACAAAAACAAAAAAGCAACAACCUAGAGCUGUGUAUAUAAACACGCUCGUAUCAGCGAACUGUGUGCAUUCAGCAUUCGACAUCGAAACAAUCGUCGCUAGAAGAGCUCAAUUUUCAGUCGCAUUUCGACACUCGUUGGAAACGGAUCACAAACGGACCGAAGCAUACGCAGGGCCAUCUGUGCGAAAAAAGUAGACAACUGCAAGAGUGCAUAUACUACUUUUAACGGUAUAUGUAGACGCGUAUUAUAAUCUACAUAAAUAUAUCUAUCAAGCGGACAAAGUGUACAAGAAAAUCCACUUCGAUGUCGAUUAAUUCGCCAAUAUUGUUAAAAAACUCUGACCUGUAUUAAACAGGCAAAAGCGAUAAAUACCAAAACAAAAA